rfam:Drechmeria coniospora strain ARSEF 6962 chromosome 03, whole genome shotgun sequence.
GGCAGAGUGCCUGAGUGGUUAAAGGGACACACUCGAAUCACCGAUGUGAUGUGUUGCGUUCGCGCGCGCAGGUUCGAAUCCUGUCUCUGUCG